AGAGUUUGAUCCUGGCUCAGAUUGAACGCUGGCGGCAUGCCUUACACAUGCAAGUCGAACGGCAGCACGAGAGCUUGCUCUUGGUGGCGAGUGGCGAACGGGUGAGUAAUAUAUCGGAACGUACCCUAGAGUGGGGGAUAACGUAGCGAAAGUUACGCUAAUACCGCAUACGAUCUACGGAUGAAAGUGGGGGAUCGCAAGACCUCAUGCUCAUGGAGCGGCCGAUAUCUGAUUAGCUAGUUGGUGGGGUAAAAGCUCACCAAGGCGACGAUCAGUAGCUGGUCUGAGAGGACGACCAGCCACACUGGAACUGAGACACGGUCCAGACUCCUACGGGAGGCAGCAGUGGGAAUUUUGGACAAUGGGCGCAAGCCUGAUCCAGCAAUGCCGCGUGAGUGAAGAAGGCCUUCGGGUUGUAAAGCUCUUUUGUCAGGGAAGAAACGGUGGACUCUAAUACAGAUCACUAAUGACGGUACCUGAAGAAUAAGCACCGGCUAACUACGUGCCAGCAGCCGCGGUAAUACGUAGGGUGCAAGCGUUAAUCGGAAUUACUGGGCGUAAAGCGUGCGCAGGCGGUUGUGCAAGACAGAUGUGAAAUCCCCGGGCUCAACCUGGGAAUUGCAUUUGUGACUGCACGGCUAGAGUGUGUCAGAGGGGGGUAGAAUUCCACGUGUAGCAGUGAAAUGCGUAGAGAUGUGGAGGAAUACCGAUGGCGAAGGCAGCCCCCUGGGAUAACACUGACGCUCAUGCACGAAAGCGUGGGGAGCAAACAGGAUUAGAUACCCUGGUAGUCCACGCCCUAAACGAUGUCUACUAGUUGUCGGGUCUUAAUUGACUUGGUAACGCAGCUAACGCGUGAAGUAGACCGCCUGGGGAGUACGGUCGCAAGAUUAAAACUCAAAGGAAUUGACGGGGACCCGCACAAGCGGUGGAUGAUGUGGAUUAAUUCGAUGCAACGCGAAAAACCUUACCUACCCUUGACAUGUCUGGAAUCCUUGAGAGAUCAGGGAGUGCUCGAAAGAGAAUCAGAACACAGGUGCUGCAUGGCUGUCGUCAGCUCGUGUCGUGAGAUGUUGGGUUAAGUCCCGCAACGAGCGCAACCCUUGUCAUUAGUUGCUACGAAAGGGCACUCUAAUGAGACUGCCGGUGACAAACCGGAGGAAGGUGGGGAUGACGUCAAGUCCUCAUGGCCCUUAUGGGUAGGGCUCCACACGUCAUACAAUGGUACAUACAGAGGGCCGCCAACCCGCGAGGGGGAGCUAAUCCCAGAAAGUGUAUCGUAGUCCGGAUUGUAGUCUGCAACUCGACUACAUGAAGUUGGAAUCGCUAGUAAUCGCGGAUCAGCAUGUCGCGGUGAAUACGUUCCCGGGUCUUGUACACACCGCCCGUCACACCAUGGGAGCGGGUUUCACCAGAAGUGGGUAGCCUAACCGCAAGGAGGGCGCUCACCACGGUGGGAUUCGUGACUGGGGUGAAGUCGUAACAAGGUA
rnacentral:rRNA from 1 species